AUGAGUGUAUUUAGAUUGCCGGCUUCUGUCUGUGAUGACCUUACAAAAAUGAUGAGGCAGUAUUGGUGGGGGAUAGAGCAUGGAAAGAGAAAGAUGGCAUGGCUAAGUUGGGAGAAAAUGAAGUUACCAAAAGCAAUGGGGGGCAUGGGAUUUAGAGACAUGCGUGCGUUCAAUCAAGCCUUGCUGGCUAAGCAACCAUGGCGGCUACUAGAUACCCCGGAGAGCUUGUGUGCUCGGUUGCUUCGAGCCAAAUACUUCCCUCAUGGAAAUUUAUUGGAUACUGUUUUUCCCUCUAGCUCCUCGGCGGUGUGGAAGGGGAUCAUGCAUGGGCUAGCAUUGGUG
rnacentral:rRNA from 1 species